AAAAUCCGUCGACUUUAGAAAUCGUGAGGGUUCAAGUCCCUCUAUCCCCCCAAAAAGACCGAUUUGACUAUUUCUCCUACCCUCUCUUUUUUUUAGUGGUUCCAAAUUUGUUCUCUUUCUCAUUCAUUCUACCUUUUUACAAACGUAUCAGAGCAGAAUUUUUUUUCUUUUAUCACAAUCACAAGUGGUGUGGUAUAUAUGAUAUACGUACAAAUGAACAUCUUUGAACAAAGAAUCCCGAUUCACAAUUCAUAUCAUUGCUCAUACUGAAACUUAUAAAUUAUUCUAUUCAAGAAAUCUAAUUCCACGCUCAAGACUUUUAAUACUUUUUUUAUCUUUUUUAAUUGACAUAGACCCCAGUCAUCUAGUAAAAUAAGGAUGAUGCGCCGGUAAUGGUCGGGAUAGCUCAGCUGGUAGAGCAGAGGACUGAAAAUCCUCGUGUC
rnacentral:tRNA from 1 species